rfam:Selaginella moellendorffii unplaced genomic scaffold SELMOscaffold_71, whole genome shotgun sequence.
ACCCGGCUGAUGAGUCCCAAAAAGGACGAAACCAGUCUCGGGU